rnacentral:tRNA from 1 species
GCUCGCAUAGUGUAGUGGCCUAGCACUCAUCCCUGUCACGGAUGCAACCCGGGUUCGAAUCCCGGUGCGGGCG